UACAGAGGGGGCAAGCGUUGUUCGGAAUUACUGGGCGUAAAGGGCGCGUAGGCGGCCCGCUAAGUCGAACGUGAAAUGCCGGAGCUCAACUCCGUGCACGCCGGGGGAUACUGGGGGGCUGGAGACAUGUAGAGGCAAGCGGAAUUCCGGGUGUAGCGGUGGAAUGCGUAGAGAUCCGGAAGAACACCUGAGGCGAAGGCGGCUUGCUGGGCAUGAUCUGACGCUGAGGCGCGAAAGCGUGGGGAGCAAACAGG
rnacentral:rRNA from 1 species